CCGUAGGUGAACCUGCGGAAGGAUCAUUGUCGAAUCCUGCCAAGCAGAAUGACCAGAGAACUUGUGACGAACUCAAUGGGGGCGAUGGGUCUUCUUUUCCCAUCGUCCCUCGACGCCAGGAUCCCACGGGCGCCUGGAGCGUUCGGGGCAUUCUCGGCGGCACAAAACCCCGGCGCGGAAUGCGCCAAGGAACUUGAACAAGAGAGCGAUGCUCUCACCACCCCAGACAUGGUGCGUGCGUGGGAUGCCAUGCAAUCUCCCAUUAUUCAUAACGACUCUCGGCAACGGAUAUCUCGGCUCUCGCAUCGAUGAAGAACGCAGCAAG
rnacentral:rRNA from 1 species